rnacentral:rRNA from 1 species
GACGUAGGGCGCGAGCGUUGUCCGGAUUUAUUGGGCGUAAAGAGCUCGUAGGCGGCUUGUCGCGUCGACUGUGAAAUCCCGCGGCUCAACUGCGGGUCUGCAGUCGAUACGGGCAGGCUAGAGUUCGGUAGGGGAGACUGGAAUUCCUGGUGUAGCGGUGAAAUGCGUAGAUACCAGGAGGAACACCGGUGGCGAAGGCGGUUUCCUGGCCCAGUACUGACGCUGAGGCACGAAAGCGUGGGGAGCGAACGGG